ensembl:processed_transcript Dleu2 deleted in lymphocytic leukemia, 2
GUAAGGUUGGCAAUACUCUACAACUGUAAUUCAAUGUGUAUUGAUGUUACUUGUGUGUUUACACGGUUUUUCUAAUUGCAUUAGUGAUUUUAUGUUUGGUAUGAUUCUGUAAUGAUGUUAGUAACAACGCUCUACAUAUUGUGUCUGUUAAAAUACUAUAUAAUUGUGGGAUGGUAAUGCAGCUCAGUUGGCCAAGUGCUUCUUGCUAGCAUGCACAAGGCCAUGGGUUUUAGCCUUACCACUGCAUACCAGGUACACUUGUAAUCCUAGAUCUGAGGAAGUGGAAAAAAGAGAAUUAGAGGCUUAACAUCAUCCUUGGCCAUAAAGCAAGUCUAAGACCUAUGUAAGGAUCUGUCUUUUAAAAACAAACAAAACAUAAUGACUUCUGUGUGAGGAACUGAUUAUAGGACUUCUAGAUACCCAGAUUUGUAAAUGCUUGGAUCUCCUGUAUAAAAUGUCUGCUCGUGACCAGUGCAUAUCCUCCCUUAUACUUAUUUAAACUUAUCUCUACAUUGUUUUUAAUGUGUAGUGCAGUGGGAUGUUAACAUGGAUAGUUGUAUUAUUCAAGUUAUUCUCUUAAUGAUGAGAAAAAAACUGUACAAUUCAGUACUAAUGCAGUUUUUGUCCAAGAAAUAAGUUUUUUGGUUUGGUCUUUUGAGCCUGGGUCUCACCAUGUAGACCAGGCUGCCAUGAAACUCACUGAGAUCCUCUUGCCUCCGCCUCCCAAAUUCUUUGUUUAAAACUGUAGGCCCCAAUGCCUGGCCACCCAAAUGUUUUGAAUGUGUGGUUGGUUGGAUCCACAGAUGGAGCACUGACUAAUAAUAUAACAAGUAUUUUUAAGUCUUGAACACCUUUCCAGAGUUUCUUGAGAGCUACAGUGGUACAGAAUAUACCCAGUACCACCAAGGCUCGAGCUCUCUUUCCAGCAUUUCCAUAUAAAAGUUUAUUUGAAAGAGUUUAGGAAGUACCAAAUUGUACAUGAAUUUAAACUCAUAUUAUUACUUAUAAUAGAAAAAUACUUUUCUCUUGAUUUGAAGUUUUCUUUAGAUACAGAUAAAGUUUGAAAUGCUACAGAUUAUAACAUAAUCUUGAGUAUAAUGUGCCUAAAUAUUUCAUUUUAAAUGAAGGAGAAUAACACUAAAAUGUGUACGUUGAAUUUUUAAACUUAAAUUUAGAAGAAUCCUUAGAAUAGCUGACCUUUUUAUUGGUUAACUGAGGAAACAAUCUGAAAUUUAAUUUGCAACCUAUGACAUAUUAGGGUAUAAAUCNNNNNNNNNNNNNNNNNNNNNNNNNNNNNNNNNNNNNNNNNNNNNNNNNNNNNNNNNNNNNNNNNNNNNNNNNNNNNNNNUAUAAGUCAAAAGUAUGAAAGACAUCUCAUCUGUGCCUUAAUAUUUAACUUCAGAUUAAAGCUAACAGUCAUUAAUUUUAUAAAUAUAUUCAGAAUAUUUUAAUUAUUUCAAAGGAAAUGUUCUUUUAACUAUCCCAUGUGCUUUAUUUUAAAUGUUUUACGUCAUUAUUUUAAAAUGUUCAAGAAAACACAUUAUCUCACAAUAAUGUCCUCUAACUCUGUCAUUACUUUUUACAAGGAGUCUCUUACCUUUUCAGAUUAAAGGUUCAUAAUUAAUUCUACCGUGUGUUGUGGAAAUCCUAAAAGUAUUUCAGUUAUUUUUUAAGGAAUUGUCCUCAAAAGAACCACUACUCAAUUCUAAUUUAAAGGUAAAAUUAAGUAAGUUUUAACAAGUUGAUUUAAUUAACUAUAGACUCCGUUUUUGGAGCAUUUUUUCUGUGUAUGAGUACACUGUAGCUAUAUUGAUGGUUGUGAGCCAUCAUGUGGUUGCUGGGAAUUUUGAAUUCAGGACCUCUGCUUGCUCCAAUUGGCCCACUCACUCCAGCUCUGUAGCUGUCUUCAGACACACCAGAAGAGGGCAUCAGAUCUCAUUACAGAUGGUUGUGAGCCACCAUGUGGUUGCUAGGAUUUGAACUCAGGACAUUUGGAAGAUCAGUCAGUGCUCUUAGCCACUGAGCCAUCUCUCCAGCCCCAAAAUUUAAAGCUUUUAUAUGAUAAUGGUAUUGCCUCUUUUACAAAUCUCUGUGGGCCACUGAGGUAAGCAUUUGUUACUUAAGCAUGAUAUCUCUUCACAGCAAUAGAAAACUCCUUAAGAUUACUUUAAUUGUAUAUAACUUUUCCCACUACUUUUCAUAGGGAAGAAAUCGCCUGUAUAUAUUAAAAUAUACAUUUAAGUGUAAAUUUUAAAUAUAUUUUCACUGACUUGGAAAUCUAGAGUUCAUUUCUAUCUUUGUGACUAUUUUUGAAUCAUAAAUAGUAGCAAAAUUAAAGUUAUACACAUUUACAUUAAUAACUAGUUAUCUUUCAAGGAAAUAAUUAGACGUGGAUGUUCUCUUGUGAUCUAGAGUUUUACACAUACAAUUUUACAAGUUAACAUUCUAAUUAAAAUUGGUUUGUUUGGUUUUUUUUUUUUCCUUUUGCAAAGGAAUAUUACUAUCCUUGUAUGAUAUAUUUUUUCUCAGUGUUGUUUCUCAUUAAAUACCAUCCAAAAAGAAAAGAAAAUGUCCUUAAUUGUUUUAAAUAGAUUUGGAUCAGCAUGUAUUUAUACAUACUACUUACAUAUCUUGGAGAAGAAAUGAAAGACCGUUAAUGCAUUCCAUCUUCCAAGGAGUUAAGGGGUAGCUUAGAAUGAGUUUAUUUCUAAUACCUGGAACCUUUUACUGCACAGCUUAUUCGUCCACCAGAAACUGAAGGGGUCAUGUUCUUGGCUUGUAUGUUUAUGAAGUAUGUCCUAGGCGCAGUUUCCAAGUCCUCUGUUCCUUUUUCACUUUCUGUUGUUUUGUUUUCCUUUGGUUUUCUUUGUUUUCUUUCAGUGUGUAGUCAUUAAACCCAGAACCUCAGAGGGCUCUACUACUAAACCAUAUACCAGUACCAAAACCGAAAAAUAUUGACGAUACUUUUGUGCUGAAUAUUCCUCAGCCUUAACUUACUAAUGCUUAUGCCCAAUGGAUCUUCCUUCAUGAAGUACCCUCUCCUCCCCCCCAUUUAUCUUUGGUGAUUUUAAUAAAUAAUACCUUUGGAAAAUGAUAGUCUGUAUGUUUCUUCACUGUGUAUUACAAUAUUUAGGAAUGCUGAUAUGUAAACUUUCCAUGUGCAAUAUUUAAAAUACCAUUUUAGUGUGAAUCAAUGAAAUCUAGUAUUGCACUGAAAUAAAGAGAAAAUUUAAAUCGUUUCUUUAAAGAAAUUGUAAGUUUUAAUAAUUACAGAUUUUAUAUCAAUUUUUAUAUUUUCUUUUCUAGUGGUAUGAAAAUAUUAAAUGUUUGUCAGAUAGCAUUAAAAAUAUACUUGAAGUGAAAUGUGGUACCCACAUGUAAGCCCAGCCCUGUUUAAUUAAACCAAAAAGUACAAAAACAGCCAGGCAUGGUGACACGCACCUUUAAUUGGGAUUGAAGCACUCAAGGCAGAAGCAAGUAGAUUUCUGUGAGUUCCAUGUCAGCCUGGGCAGCAUAUUUGAGAUUUAUAGUAUUUACAUAGUAAGAGAUAAAAAUUUAUUCUAUUUCAGUGCUGAAGAUCAUACCAAAACCAAGCAGAUAAGUCCCUGGCGUUCAUGGGGUUUACAGUGCUGAUGGGUAGUCGAUGAAUACCAGGAUGAAGAAAAAUAUUACCGUUUUAUGUUCUGUGGGAAAAUUAAGGAAGCAAGAUGGGCCAGGCGGUGGUGGCGCACGCCUUUAAUCCCAGCACUUGGGAGGCAGAGGCAGACGGAUUUCUGAGUUCCAAGCCAGCCUGGUCUACAGAGUGAGUUCCAGGACAGCCAAGGCUACACAGAGAAACCCUGUCUUGGGAAAAAAAAAAAAAAGAAAGGAAAGG